UCAUAAGACCACAUUCAUUCUGUGUCAGAAACCUAUGCUGUGUCGACUAUUUAAUUUUAGAUUUAAAAAGUUUGAAGAAGAAAUCUUUAAUUGAUUUGUAAAAUCUUGACAUUUGUUUUGUGUAAAAAAAAACCAUGUAAUGUCAAAAAUUUGAUCACAAUCCAAAUUCAAAGCUGUAUCACGCUUGAAUGUUUUGUCCAUACUUGCCCCAACUGUUCAGGGUUCGACCUCUGCGGUCGUAUAAAGCUGCGCCCUGCGGAGCACCUGGUUAAUGCAUGCAAUAAAUUCUGAAUUUACAGUAUUUAAUUUAUUUAUUUUGAAGUAUUUCAUGGUUUAUUUUUAUGUUUCAUGGAAUUGCAUUUGUCUUCUGACACUCUUGAUCAUUUAUUUCUGGUAUAUAUUUAUACUGUAUCUAGAUCUGCUAAUUAUGAAAUUUAAGCUGUUAAGUACCAUUGCAAACCUGUAUAUGCUUAAUCAUGUAU
rnacentral:lncRNA from 1 species